rnacentral:rRNA from 1 species
GACGAACGCUGGCGGCGUGCCUAAUACAUGCAAGUAGAACGCUGAAGAGAGGAGCUUACUCUUCUUGGAUGAGUUGCGAACGGGUGAGUAACGCGUAGGUAACCUGCCUUGUAGCGGGGGAUAACUAUUGGAAACGAUAGCUAAUACCGCAUAACAAUGGAUGACACAUGUCAUUUAUUUGAAAGGGGCAAUUGCUCCACUACAAGAUGGACCUGCGUUGUAUUAGCUAGUAGGUGAGGUAAUGGCUCACCUAGGCGACGAUACAUAGCCGACCUGAGAGGGGGGUCGGCCCCACUGGGACUGGGACCCCGCCCAGGCUCCUACGGGAGGGAGCCGUAGGGGAUCUUCGGCAAUGGGGGCAACCCUGACCGAGCAACGCCGCGUGAGUGAAGAAGGUUUUCGGAUCGUAAAGCUCUGUUGUAAGUCAAGAACGGGUGUGAGAGUUGAAAGUGCACACUGUGACGGUAGCUUACCAGAAAGCGACGGCUAACUACGUG